rnacentral:rRNA from 1 species
GAUGAACGCUGGCGGUAUGCUUUACACAUGCAAGUCGUACGAGAGUUUUUAACUCAAGUGGCGGACGGGUGAGUAACACGUAAGAAUUUACCUUUAGGAGGGGGACAACAACUGGAAACGGUUGCUAAUACCCCAUAUGCUUUCGAGUGAAACGGUUUUUCCGCCUAAAGAGAAGCUUGCGGCUGAUCAGCUUGUUGGUGAGGUAAGAGCUCACCAAGGCGACGAUCAGUAUCUGGUUUGAGAGGACGAUCAGACACACUGGAACUGAGACACGGUCCAGACUCCUACGGGAGGCAGCAGUGGGGAAUUUUCCGCAAUGGGCGAAAGCCUGACGGAGCAAUACCGCGCGAGGGAUGACGGCCUAUGGGUUGUAAACCUCUUUUUUCAGGGAGGAAUCAAUGACGUGUACCUGAGGAAUAAGCAUCGGCUAACUCCGUGCCAGCAGCCGCGGUAAGACGGAGGAUGCAAGUGUUAUCCGGAAUCACUGGGCGUAAAGCGUCUGUAGGUGGUCCAAUAAGUCAACUGUUAAAUCUUGAGGCUCAACCUCAAAAUCGCAGUCGAAACUAUUAGAC